AUACUUUUUCAAACUCAUUUUUCUGUUAUUAUACUAGUUUCUGUUUCUUAUUUCUUUUGAUGUAUCUCUUAAUUUGUGGUUCUCCUUUAGCUUUAGCUCUGGGAUAUUAGUUGUUCCUAUAUCAGGCUGAUGGAUUUUAAGUUCGUAUGGUUUGAAAUUCAUGUUUUUUUAUCUACUUCAAUAAUCUAUGACACUGCAUCAUGAAUUAAUAUUGGGUAAGUUUUGGGGUGUAAGGUAGGUUCUGUUUGAUUUUUGUACAUUCUCAAGUUGUAUGUGAGAUAUAUUUUUUAUGGUGUUGGAUUUGUCUCACCUUUAACUGUCUAUCAGUCUUAGGCAAAUUGGGAGGAAAAUGAUGUGUUUUUAUUUUGUUAUGGUCUCUACUAAUGUUGUUCAUGUUGUAGUAAAUGGGAUUGCAUCUUUAUUUAGAUUUCAGCUAUAUCUGUUAGGUUGGGCUGAAACCCAACUCAGCAUCAGUGAUUUAGGUAUUGACAUCUGUAAAUUAUCCUCCUAAUAUACUCAAUGAUCUGAGUUUAGAUAAGCAUGAUGGGACAAUAAUAUUUGGAGCGCUAACAGAAGGUGUUUGGCUGUUGAUUGUUGUUGUUAUUUGGAGUGCCUUACCGUAUAUGGCUGCUCUUCGGCUGCUCUUCUUGUUUUUGCAGGAAGAAAUAUGAUGUGUUGUGGAAUUUGAAGGGGGACCCCUACAUAGAAUUAUGAUAUCUCUUCUUCUUCUUUGUCUACCUCAAUAUGGGACAUUUUUUCUUGUCCUACAUAGAAUUAUGGUUUAUGUUCUUCUUCUUCUGCCUCAAUAUGGGACAUUUUUCUUGUUGGCAGGAGUGCUUUCUCUUGGAUAUCUCAAGGCCAAAUCGAGGAACAUUUGAUUUUUAGAACUAUCCCUUCCCCCACAAUGGAUAGCAUAGCAAGGCAUAGAGAUUUUACACAUGAUCCCAAUACAUUUAUGAGUUGUGAGAAGUAGGAAUAAGAGGAUUUAUGUGAUAAUUACUCAGAUUUUCUUUGUUUAGAUUUUAUAAUCCAAUUUUAGGAGAUGUUAAAUAAAUCACAAAUAAGUGACACCACUAAGCAGAUUAGGAUCAGAUGUGGAACUAGAACCUUCCAAAGCAUCAUAAGCCACUAAACUAAAUCUGGGUUGGAAGGAACACAACAACUCAUGCUUGCUAUUCUCCAUCAACCAUCACUCAGCUUUUAGGCUUCUGUAUCCUUAACUCGAUGCUUGGAUACAUAAGAGACCAUGGUCCUGAUAUGUUUUUUAAUAGGGCAUGCUGUUGUAGGAAUAUGGGAACACAAAUUUGACUAGAUUUUAGGUCAUAUGCUACUGAACACGUAGUAGAAAAAGCCACUAAAUGAAAUCUGGAUUGGAAGGAACACAACUCAGGCUUGCUAUUCUCCAUCAUCCGUCACUCAGCUUAUAGGCUUCUUUAUCCUUGAUUCUAUCCUUGGAUGCAUAAGAGACCAUGGUCCUGAUAUCCUUUUGAAUAGGGCAUGCUGUUGUAGGAAUAUCGGAACCCAAAUUUGACUAGAUUUUAGGUCAUGCUACUCAACAUGCAGUAGAAAUACACUUAAUAAUGAGAAGAGAGGCUCAUUGUUUUUGCUUUUUGAAAGGCGCCCAUGGUGGAAUGAGGGGGGGUUGUUGGUUUUAACCGUGUCUGUGUUUGUAUUUUGUUACACUAGGAUUGUAUUUGAGCUUGUUCCUUGAACAGUGUGAGUCAUCCAUUGGUCAGGUUCCUUGUCUGAAAUUUAUAUUGCUAUCAAUUGCAUAAAAAGAAUGAUGUUGAUAUGAUAUGGAUUUUUGAGUCAUCCAUGGUUCCAGGUUACUUAUCUGAAAUUUGUAUUGCUAUGAAUUGGAUAAACAGAAUGAUAAUGAUAUAAUAUUGAUUUUUGGAGUUAUAUUAAGGGCUGUCUUUUUCUUGAGUGAUUUUGAGGUUUUGGUUGUAUGUCAGCAUUUUUCUACUUUUUUUAAUGCUUGUUUUAUGCAUGACUUGGUGGGUACACCCCGACAAGAAAAUUGUUUGUUAAUAAUAGUUGUGGUUUCUAUGGGAAAUAGGUAUAAUAGCUUGCUGGAGUUACCUUGUUUGACAAUGAGGAUAAGUUCUUUUCUUUCCUGUAUUUUUUUAACCCUCAAUAUGAUUUAUUUUUCUUUAAUCAUCAAAGUUGGCCCCUUGUUUUUUUUGUUGCUUAUUUUUGCAGGCUGUCAUUAUUCCAUUGGUAACAUUCAUUCUUAAACCUUUUAUAUUAUUUAUGGUUUCCUUUAUUUUCUAUUUCGAAGUAUGGGUAUGGCUUUGGAAACUCGAUCUUUCGGAUUUUUUUCCAUUUGUUUUCUGGAAAUGCACUUAUCCAUUAAUGUUGGAUUAACUAGGUGUUAUAAGAAUGCUUUGUUGAUCAUCUCCAAGCACCUGCAUGUUUUUCCACAACUGAUGGAGAACAUGAUGUUGAUAAGAGGAAGAGGUUUUCCUGUCAUACAACUUUUUCUUUAUAAAUUUGUUGCAUAUGCAAAAUGCAGUAAAUAAAAAUAAUGUUGAAUGGGUAUCAUGGAUUUUAUAUCAUAAUUGUAAAACAGGGGUUCCAUUUCCCACUAUGAUAUGUGCUUUGUAUAUUUGUUUUAUACAUUAAAAUUUUCACCUUAUGGUCCUCGACAUUCUAUAGAAUAUUUGUUUUAGGCUGAUUUUCAUUUCAACAUUCUAUAGAAUAUUUGUUUUAGUCUGAUUUUCAUUCAUCUAUGGCAAUCUAAGGUGUCCUCUAAUGAGGGUUACCUUUUGUUGUGGAUAUUUGUUUUAUUUUAAUUCCUUUUAUGAGUUAAGCACUUGACAAGCCAAUUGUUUGCCACCCAACACCAGAGAGUUCCAUUUUGCAUUUCCUUUUUUUUAUUUUCUCAUUAUUUUUGAGUGUAGGUAGAAUUGGACUUCUUGGUUUGGAUGAUUUGAACAUUUUCUUAUUGAAGAAGAUCAACUGAAUUCACAAUCAGAGUCUGAAUAUGAGGGGGGGUUGUAAGAAUGCUUUAUAAUUAUAUGCCUUUGAGAGUAUGAAAAUCUUUAUAAGAAUACUUUGAUAAUUAUAUUAAAAAAAUUUGCAUCCAUUUUUCAGGACAAGAGAAGAAGCGGAGGUUGGUAUGCUUUUGCUUUUGUUUUCAUUUUCAUUUUGAAAUGAAUGAAGAUGUGUGUUUUGCAUUUAUUGGCUUUUAUCUUAUAAUUCUUUUUUUUUUCUUUUUCAUAUGCAAUUAUUGGCUUUUAUCUUAUACUUAUUUUUAUUCAUACAGGGCAUGACCUUAUCUUUAAAAAACGUUCCAUUUUGCAUUUCCCUUGCUUUAUCUUCGUAUUAUUUUGUGUGUGGGUUUCAUGAUUUUGAAUUCAUUGUGGGUUUUGGGCAUAUAAUUGUUUGUUGUUUUCUGCAGGAAAUAAUAUGAUGUGGCAUGUGAGGGUUGACAACAUAUAAAAUAAAUUGAUUUUUCUUUUUUACUUGCAUGGCCUAUUUCGAAAAGAUCUAUGAUUUUUGUAAUAUACGUGAAGUAUUAAUUGUUGUAGCUUGGUUGAUUAUUUAUUUAUAUUGACUAUUAUGACCUUUUCUUGGGAUUGUAGUUCAAUUGGUCACAACAAUGCUAUUGCAAGGCAGAAGUUGCGGGUUUGAGCCUCGUCAAUCCCAACUAAUCGAAUGAUUUGAGAGUUUUCCUCUUUUGAAAAUAUAUCUUGUAUUACUUAUACUCUUUCACAACUAAUUUUGUCUUACAUUUACUUGAUUCAUUCUUAUCUUGGGUGGGCAAUGUGUUUCUGUUAACAUUUUUUUUUUCAAUGUUGAAUGUGUAUGUUUUGUUAGUUGUAUUGUGGUAUUGUGUGUCAUAUUGUGUAUUAUAAAAUACACUAUAGCUAAAAUACAAAUUAUUAUAGGAUUUCCAAAAAAAAUGUAUCCAUGUUCCCAUUAGGAUUUCCUAUAUGUAAACUACAUUCUUGAAUGGAUAUUCAAAGUGGCUAACAAAAGGAGGAUGAUAAGUAGUGUGCAACAGGACUGUUUGGGCUUUGAAGUUUGAAGUGGGGUUUAUGUAAUUAAUACAAGAUUUUUGGCUUUGGACAAAAUUCUUUAUUUUGAUUGUUUCCUUGACAAUUUGUUUUCAGGAACUGAUUGGUAGAGUCGAACAUGUUCCUUUUGAAUGAUAUUUCAAUAUAUGCAUCCAAUGGUUUUUGCCCCUUAGUUGAAUUUAUUUUCUUCAAGGAUUUUCAACAUCUUUCUUUGAUUUGCUGUCUCUGGAUGAUGUUUCUUGACACAUUGUUGUACUUUGUUCCAUUUGUCUUUAUCUGGAUAAGGCAUGUUCUCCAACACUUUCCUUCUCUUUGGAUGUUUUGCUUUUCAAUGAAGAAUUUGCUUUGAAAUGGCUGUGCCCUUGGAAGGACGUUUUCAUGUACACAUUUUAUCAUUAUACAAUAUUUGGUUUGUGACAUAAUUUUUAGAAGUUUGUUCAUAUGACCAGGUUGUUACUAAGGAGAAUGGAGUUCAUUCUCCAUGGGACUUUCCAUUCCAAUAAUGCUCAUGAAGAUAGAGAUUCAUUAAUUCAGAUUCUUGCUCUUGUAGGCGAGCAUGUUCAAUUUCUUUAUGUGCUCUUUACUUUCUUUCCUUGUUUUUUCUUUUAUUCUUUUUAGGUUGUUAUUUCUGAUUCUAUCAAUUUUAAAUAUCUGUUUGCAUUUAUUUUUCAAUAUAUUCUUGACGAAAAUAGCUUCUGAGUUUAUCACUUGAACAAAGACUCAAGACUUUGGCUAGUUUCUACUCAACACGUUGUAGAAAUACACUUAAUAAUGAGAAGAAAGGCUCAUUGUUUUUUUCUUUUUGAAAGGUAUGCCUGGUGGAAUGAGGGGGUUGUUUGUUUUAAUCAUGUCUGUGCUGUAUUUUAUUGAUAUAAGAUUGUAUUUGAGUUUUGUUCCUUGAACAAUAUUUCUUUCUUGAGUAAGUUGGCCUCUUACCUCUUUUUUAUGUGCCUUUGUUAGCAUCAUGUCGUUUUCCAUUCUUUUAAGAUAUCUGAUUUUUGUUUUGGUUUUUUUUUGUAACUUCUAAAUACAAUUUCUGUGCGUAGGUUGGCUAGAUAAUGUCCCAAUAUAAGUGAAGACUAGCACCCGUGAUGUUGAUAGAGUGGAGAGCUAUGUGAACGGUGAAGGAAAUAACAUAUGUUGCAUGACAACAAUUUUAUCAACUUGAAAGCUUGGGUCAAGGACGGUUCUCAUACUUAUAAAUAGAAAAUAAAAGCUUGGGUCAUAGGAUGGGCUGGCAAAUAAAAGCUUGGAAACCUGAUCUUCCAGUUUCUUUCCCGUAUGUUUUCUGGCAAUGCACUUACGCAUUAAUGUCGAGUUAACAAGGUGUUGUAAGAAUGCUUUGAUGAUCAUCUCCAAGCACUUGCAUAUUUUUCCAAAAAUGAUGUUAUGUUGUUAACAGGAAAGGUUUUCUUGUAAUGCAACUUUUUCUUUAUAAAUUUCUUUCCUAUAUAAAAUAGAGUAAACAAAAAUACUAUUGCAUGGGUAUCAUGGGUUUUAUCUCACAAUCUUGUUAUAUUUUGAAAACCAAGGUUCCAUUUCCCAUUUCCAUAUGUGCUUUGUAUAUAUGUCUUUUGCAUUAAAAUUUUCACCUUAUAGUCCUCUACAUUCAAUAGGAUAUUUGCUUUUAGGCAGGAUUUUCAUCUAUCCAAGGGUUCCUUUAAUGAGGAUCUGCUUAUUCAUUUCCUUUAUGAGCUCAACACUGGAUAAGCCAAUUGUUUGCCACCUAACUCCAGAGAGUUCCCUUUUGCAUUCCUUUUUUUUUUCCUCAUUAUUCUUGUGUGUAGGUUGAAUCAGACAUCUUGGUUGGAUGAUUUGAACAUUCUCUUAUUGAAGAGGAUCAACUAAACAAGGAGGGGUUGUAAGAUUGCUUUAUAAUGAUAUGCCCUUGAGAGUAUAAAAUCCUUUAUUAGAAUGCUUUGUUAGUUAUAUUAAACAAACUUGCAUUUAUUUUAAGAUAUGGCGUUUCCAUCUCAAAAAUACAGCUUUUGGUAAAAUGCAUCAAACAAAAGUAUCAUGGGGGGUGUGGCCUCAUCUUUGAAAAACAUUCCAUUUUGUGUUUCCCUUUAUCUUCUUAUUAAUUUUUGCGGCUUGUUUAAUUAUUUAUAUUGACCAUUGUGACCUUUUCCUGGGAUUGUAGUUUGAUUGGUCAGAACAAUGGGAGUUAUGGAGGGGUGGUUCUCUUCACAGUACCUAGAAACACACAGAAUAGCAACACUUUGAAGGAAUUCAAGUUGGCUUGAGAAUUUCCAAUGUGUAAAAGGAAUGCUUGGGCUUGCCUUUGAGCGCUCCUCACUAAUCAACAAAAGUAUGGGACUUAAUAGAGGACAGAUUUUAAAGAAAGUUAGCCUUGUAAAGGAGACAAUACCUACUAAAAGGAGGGAGACUCAUCUGAAUCAAAAGCACAUGGUCAAAUAUAUUGAUAUACUUGAUUUCUCUUUUUACCAUUUUGAGGAUGGUGAGCUCAAGACACAACAAAUUCCGAAGGAAUUUCCUUUGAGGUGUAGGGGCUUUAGAGUGAAAACCUCACUUUGGUUAAUUGGACCAUCAUUUCCUUAGGUAAAAGAGAUGGGGGGCUUGGCAUCAUAAAGCUCCAUACUCUUAACAAGGCUCUUCUAGGUAAAUGGAGUUGGAGAUUUGUGUCCAAGAGAGAGUUCCUUUGGAAACAAGUUGUAGUUAGAAAAUAUAGGUUAGAAUAAGGGGAUGGUCUCAAGGGCGGUGAGGAAUAACUAUAGGGUGGAGCUGUCGAGGGCCAUAGUAAACGGGUAGGAAGUCUUUAAAAGUGGAACCCACUUCAUUUUGCAUAUUGGUAGAUGAAUAAAAUUCUAGAAAGAUGAUUGAUGUGGUGAAAUCUCGUUGGGAGAGGCUUUCCUGGUCAUUUUUGCCAUAGCCAAUAACAAAGACUGUUGGAUAACAGAUUUGUGGGAGUAGGAUGGGAAAGGGGGCUGAUGAAGCCCCCAUUUCCAUAGACUACUCUAUGAUUGGGAAUUGGAAGGAGUGAAAGUUUUUUUUGAAAAUUGCAUUCUUUUUCAAUUGGAAGGGACAAGGAUGACAAUUUAAGUUGGAAGGAAAUGAAAACUUGUACAUUUUCCAUCAAAUCGUUCUAUGCUUCCUUAGGCCAAGGAAGUGGUGAGCCUUUCCACUCAAGCAUCAUUUGGAAUCCUUGAGUGCCAACAAAAGUGGGUUUUCUCUCUUGGGAAGUUGUUUGUGGAAGGAUGUUUACUCUUGAUUAGCUUAAGAGGAGGGGUUGGAGCUUCCCGAACAGAUGCUGCAGUGUAAAGGAGAUGAAGAGUUGAUCGAUCGUGUGUAAUGGACAUGUGUAGCCUUGGUUGUUGCUUUCAUGCUUUUAAGGUGGGGAAGCAAUCUUAGUCCCUUUCCUUUAGUCUUCUUAAUCCCUAUAUAUACAUAUGUUUUUUUUUUUUUUUUCAUAAAGAAAUCCUUCUCUCUUUUGCUAGCCGUGGAAAUGGGAUUUGUAAUCGAGUCUUCUGAUAUUUCUCUUGUUACUACUAUAUUUUUUGGGUUAUGAAAUAUCUGAAUCCUGUCUUCUUUAUAAUCAUUCUGUUGGCUGCAUGACAAAAUGAUGUUAUAAUAAUGCAUUUGUUUUCUAAUACACGGUCAAGGGAAGAAGUUCGGAAGGUAGCUUAUGAUAGACUCCUUGUGAUAAGCUCCAGCUCGGGAAACUCAGUUCUGAAGCAUCUCAUCAGAAGCUGAUAAACUUACUGAUCCUAGUUUUACUGAAUAAUUGAAUUAUGUGGCUUUUUUUUCCAUGCUUUCUGUAAUAUUGUUGCUUCACCUUGUUUUGUACUCUAAUUUUCAUUGAUCAGUUAUCAAUUGCGUUGAUAUUGUUGGAGGAAAAUAAUAAUAAUAAUAGUAAUAUUUAAUACAACUUUUUAACUCUAGGAAGUUUUCCCUUUGGAGCACUACUGUUGUAAUCUAUUAAUCUAAGUCCGUUUAUUUAUGUAUUAGUUUCAUAUUUUUUGUUUGUUGGAAAAGCUUACUAUUAGAAGGAAAAAACAGUCAUGGGACUGAAAUGGGAACAAAAUUCUGACAAGCAACCUUUGUUGGAUAUAUUGGUGAACUCUGAUUUUGUUUCCUUGCUUUUUAUAAAUCCCAUUAUGUAUUACAUGAAAUAAAUCUCUAUCUACUAAUUUUUUUAAUGACUUUGAGAUAGUUUUGGUCAUUUUGAUUAUUAAUCAACUGUUUUGACCUAUUGAUAUCACUGGUUGCAAAGAGGUUGCUGCGUCCUUUUUAAUGGCUAAUUGUUGCAUAAUGUUCAGAUAAUGGGCUACCUUUCUGGUUCAUCUCCUCACAUAAAAAGUGGAGCAGUGUCUAUGCUAUCUUUACUGGUAUGUGAGGAUGCAGAUAAUUGUAUUUCAGUAACUGAUCUGGUCACCCUUCUGUUUUAGCUUUGCUGCAAAGGAAAGCUGUUGAAAUUGUAAAAUGAGUCCCUAACUCAUAAUCCAGUUCGUUGUUUGGUAGUUGCUCUUAACGUUUAUGAGUCGAUUGUUAGAUGUUAAAUAGGCUGUUUUAGGCUUCAUGAAAGUAGUGAUGUCCUGCUUACAAGCUGAAGACUCGCAGAGUUUUCUUACUGAUGUACUCAAUGGUGUUCUCCCACGGUCACCUAUAUCAAGAAGCCAUUUCAGAUCAACGGUUAGCUAGAUGAGUUCCAAUAUAAGUGCAAAGUAGCAGCAAUGAUGUUGAUAGAGUGGAGAUAUGACAACGUUUAAGGAAAUAACAUAUGCUGCAUGACAGCUAUUUUAUCAACUUAAAAAGCUUGGGUCAUAGGAUGGGGGGAGUUGAUCAUACUUAGAGACAGAAACUAAAAGAAACCAUAAAUAAUACAAAGAACAGAAGUUUAAGAGUGAAUGUGAUGAUUUGAACAUAAUCUUAUUGAAGAGGAUCGGCUGAAUGAACAAUCAGAAUUUGAAUACUAGGGGUUGUAAGAAUUCUUUAAUAAUUAAUUAUAUGCUCUUGGGAGUUUGAAAAUCUUUAUAAGGAUGCUUUGAUAAUUAUAUUAAACAAAUUUUCAAGACAAGAAAAGAUGCUGAGGUUGGUAUGCUUUUUCCUUUUGUUUUCAUUUUCAAAUGAAUGAAGAUGUGUUGUUUCCAUAUAAAAAAUACAGCUUUUUGCAAAAUGCAUCAAACAAAAGUAUAAUAAAUGGUUAUCGCACCCCCCAUCUGUGAAAAACAUUCCAUUUUUUGUUUCCCGUGCUUUACUUCUUAUUAGUUUGUGUAUAGGUUUCAUGAUUUUGGAUUCAUUGUGGGUUUUGGAUUUGUAAUUCAUAUAACAUGAAUUGAUUUUUCUUUUUAUGUGUGGUAUAUUUGAAAGAUGUAUGAUUUUUGAAAUGUAUAUCAAGUAUUGAUUUGUGCAGUUUGUUUGAUUAUUUAUAUUGACUAUUAUGAUCAUUUCUUAGGAUUGUAGUUCAAUCGGUCACAACAAUGCCAUUGCAAGGUAGAAGUUGCGGAUUCAAGCUUUGUCAACCCCAACUUCAAUGAUUUGAGAGUUUUCCACUUUUCAAAUUCUGACUUAUGCAUUACUUACUUUUACUGUUUCACAUAAAUUUGCAACAAAAGUUUUUUUAAAUUGAUUUUUAGCUGAAUGUGUAUGUAUUGUUUGUUGUAUUAUGGUAUCACAUGUUAUAUUUUGUAUCAUUUAUAUACUCAGAAUCAUAAAAUACACUAUAGCUAAAAUACAGAUUAUAAAAGGAUUGCCAUAAAAAAAUGUAUCCAUAGUUUGCAUAUUUGUUUGUUUGAGUGAGCUUUGGUUUGUUUGACCACAAAACUUAUGUUAGUUAUUGGUGUUUUAGGUCAAUUUCCAACUUUAGCUUGGUCUCUUACUCUUUAAGGAGUAAAAAAGGCGUCCAAGGUUCCUGUUGGGACUUCCUUAAUGUGAACCAUACUCUUCAAUGGAUAUUCAAAUUGGCUAACAAAAGAAGAGGGAAAAAAAAAUGAAAGCACGAGGGUAGGGAUAAAGUAUUUACAUUUAUGUAAGUGGUGUGCAACAGAUUUUUAGGGCUUUGGAGUCGGGUCUAUGACAUAAUAAUACAGGAUUUUGGACAAAACUCGUUAUUUUAAUUGUCUUGUUGACAAUUUAUUUUCAGGAACCUGAUACGUGAUUAGCCGAAUUUAUUUUCUUUGACAUUUCCUUAUAACUCUCAUUUAGAGCAAUAUAUGACAGGUAUUAUUUUGUAUUUAGCCUUGGUUGUUUGUUAACUGUUUUAUCUAAUUUUUGAAAUUUCAACUCUGAUAUCUCUAGGGUAAAUUUUUUGAUUUGUCCCCUAAUGAUGUUUCUCGGCACAUUGUUGUACUGUGUCAUUUGUCUUUCCCUGGAUAAGGCAUGUCUUCCAACAUUUUCCUUCUAUUUGGAUGUUGUUGAAAUAUACUAAUAAUGUUAAUUGUUCAUUUCAUUUUGGUUUGUUUUUCAAUGUAGAAUUUGCCUUGAAAUGGGUAUGCCUUUGGAAGAAUGUUUUUCUCAUACACAUUUUAUCAUUAUAUGCAAUAUUCGGUUUGUGAUUUAAUUUUUAGAAGUUUGUUCAUAUGACCAAGUUAUAUUCCUUGGGAGAAUGGAGUUCGCUCUCCAUGGAACUUUCAUAAUGUAGCCAUUACGACUCAUCUUGUAUGAAAUCAAAUUCUUGCUCUUCUAGGUGAGCACGUUCAAUUUCCUUCUAUGCUCUUUACUUUCUUUCAUUUUUUUAGGUUGUUUUCUAACUAUAUCAAUUUAAAAUAUCAAGAUAAUUCUGUUUGCAUUUAUUUUUCAAUAUAUUUUAUUAACUAAUAACUAUAAAUUUAUGCUAUGCAAAUAUCGUGAAGUCAAUAAUGUUACUAAGGGAACUGUUCUUAUUGGUUGAUUUGUUUCUCUCGUAUAUUUUUGAAUUGUUUUUUCGAAGGAUACAAUGGAGCUGGUAAAAGCACAACAAUCUCCAUGUUGUUACAAUAAUUACUUGUGUUUUUGAAGCACUUUAAUCAUAAGGUAUCAUUUAAGAGGCCAUAUGAGUCUAUUUGAAUAAAAAUUUUAAAAUAUUUAUUAGAAUAACAAAAAUUUUAAAUGUGUCAUAUUUCAAUAAAUAUUUUUUUUAAAUUGCUAUACUUUCCCAAAAUGACAAGUACACCAUCGGAAACCAUCCGGGCUCCGUUUGGGAGUUGGGAUGCUUAGGAGAUGUGGGCCCAGAUUUUGCUGAAAUUCUCAGGCCCAAGGCGGAGUUUAGAAAGAGGGUACCUUGCAUGGAGCCUUUAGCCAUCGCGUACCGUGUUACGCUAGCUCUCUGCGCAUGGAUCUGCUGGUGCAUUUCGCGUCGGUUCUCGUCGUUACAGUACGUGUGGGCUCCCAGCGCACAGUACGCGUCGUCUCUCCGUGUACAGUACGUGUCGGCUCUCCGCGUACAAUACGUGUCGGCUCUCCGCGUUUAGUACGCGUAUGAAAAUUCCGGAGCCUAUAAAAUCCUGGUAGAGGGGCUGAGAUAUUGAAGCAAAGGAUAUUGAUCUGGAAGAUGAAGGCGGUGGGUUUUUAGGUUAGUUUUAUAUGGUGAUCGAUGAUAUGAUUUUUAGGGUUUUUUUUUUCAGCAUUCUAUAUGAACAUGGGAGGUUUCGUGGGUUUUGUAAGACGAUUGGAUAUGAUAUCAGAUGAUCGAUGAGGGUCUUAUAAGAGGAUGGAAUGAUUUCUCAUAGGAUUCUUGUCAGGGUUUUUCGGGGCAGGAUCUAUUCGGUUCAGGUUUCUUCCCCUUACGAAUCGUUCUUGUUAUUGAUUACUGAUCAGAAUGGAUGUUUACUUCCUUUCCCCUUCUUCACGAACCAUUCUUUUUAUUGAUUGAUUACUUUCAGAUUAGACUUUAAAAGGGGAUACAAUCUUUGGGAGUAGAUCUUUCGAAGUUUUGACGGAAAGGGUGACCAUCUGGUAGAUGAUUUGAAAGAUUCAUUGAGAUUGGGGAGAGGAAGGAAGAACAAAAGAUUUAAUCUUAUUUGCUAUACCGUGGCAUGUUGAGGCUUUGCACAUUUAACAAACGUUUUGGGAACUCAACAUACUGAUGGCAUGCUGCUAUGUUGGACGGUAAAGUAUGACCUACUGUAUGGAAGGUGUUGGAUUUCUUUUGAGGAAUCUCCUAAAUCCUUGGUUCCUCUUUAGUUAUAGCUCUGGGAUAUCAGUUGUUCCUAUAUACAGGCUGAUGGAUUUUAAGUUUGUAUGCUUUGAAAUUCAAUCUGAAUGUUUUUUAUCUACUUCAAUAUUCUGUGACACUGCAUCAUAGAAUUAAUGUUGGGUAUGUUUGGGGGUGUAAGGUGGGUUUUGUUUCCUCUCUUGGUUUCCUUUCGAUGUUUCUUCCUUGUUCUGCAAGUUUUUGAGGUAAAAUUUUGGUGAUUUGGUUUUUGUAUAUUCUCAAGUUCUAUGUGAGAUAUAUUUUCUAUGGUAGUGGAUUUGUCCCACCUGUAUGAGACUAUGGCCUUGAUAAGCUUUUGAAUAGAGAGUGUUGUUGUAGGAAUAUGGGAAGACAAAUUUGACUUGAUUUUAGGUCCUGCUACGCAAUGCACUGUAGAAAUACACUUAAUAAUGGGAAGAGAGAGGCUCAUUGUUUUUGCAUUUUUGAAAUGCACAGAUGGUGGGAUGAGGGGGUUUUAACCAUGUCUGUGUUUGUAUUUUGCUACAACAAGAUUGUGUUUUGAGUUUAUUCCUUGAACAUGCGAGUCAUCCACGGUUCAGGUUCCUUAUCUGGAAUUUGUACUGUUAUCAAUCAGAUAAACAGAAUGAUAUUGACAUGACAUGGAUUUUUUGAAGUUACAUAAAGGGCUGUUUUUUUCUUGAGUGAUUUCUAGGUUUGAUUUGUAUGUCAGCAUUUUUCUGCUCUUUUCAAUGCAUGUGGUAUGCAUGACUUGGUGGGCACCCGGCAAGAAAAUUGUUUUCUAAUGAUAAUUGUGGUUUCUAUGGGAAAUAGGUAUGAUAGUUAGCUUGAGUUAUCCAGGUUGACAAUGAAGAUAAGUUCAUUUCUUUCAUUUAUUUUUCAUUAAUCAAAGUUGGCUGCUCCCUCUUUUUUUUCUUUGGUUGCCUAUUUUUUAGCAGCAUGCCAUCUUUCCAUCCUUUUAAGAUAUUUGAUUUGUGGUUUGGUUUUUAUUUGUAGCAUCUAUACUUUUACAGUUUCUUUAAAUAAGAUGAAUCAUGGGAUGGUUGGUAAUUUAUGUGUGUGCAGGUUAGCUAAGAGAUGUCCCAAUUUUUGUGCCGAAUAGCAUCUAUGAUGUUGAUAGAGUGGAGCUACUUCAAUGAUGAAGUAAUGUAUGUUGCAUGGCAGCUAUUUUACCAACUUAAAAGCUUGGGUCAUAGGAUGGGGGAGAUCACAUUCAUUCUUAAACUUUUAUAUUAUUUAUGGUUUCUUUUAUUUUCUAUUUCUAAGUAUGGGUUUAGAAACUGAUCUUUUGGAUUUCUUCCAAUUUGUUUUUUGGCAAUGUACUCAUCUCCAUCAAUGUUGGGUUAACCAGGUGUUAUAAGUAUGCAUUGACGAUCAUAUCCAAGUAUCAUCUUGUUUUUCACAACUGGAGGAAGUAGAAUGGUUGGAUGAUUUGAACAAUAUCUUAAUGAUGAGGAUCAGCUGAUUGAACAAUCAGAGUUUGAAUACGAGGGGUUGUAAGAAUGCUUUAUGAUUAUAUGCCUUUGAGAGUUUUGAAAUCUUUAUAAGAAUGCUUUGAUAAUUAUAUUAAACAAAUUUGCAGUUAUUCUUCAGGACAAGAGAAGAAGUAGAGGUUGAUACACUUCUGCUUUUGUUUUCAUUUUCAGAUGAAUGAAGAAAAUGUGUGUUUUGCACUUAUUGGGCUUUUAUCUUAUAUUUCUUUUUUUUCUUUUUUCAUAUGCAAUUAUUGGCUUUUAUCUUAUACUUUAUAUAGGGCAUGGCCUCAUCUUUGAAAAAUGUUCCAUUUUGUAUUUCCCUUGCUUUAAAUAUGAUUUUCAAAAUGUAUGUAAGUACUAAUUUGUGCAGUUUGUUUGAUUAUUUAUAUUGACCAUUGUGACCUGUCCUUGGGAUUGUAGUUCAAUUGGUGACAACAAUGCUAUUGCAAGGCGGAAGUUGCGGGUUCGAGCCCCGUCAAUCCCAACUAAUCCAAUGAUUUGAGAGUUUUCCCCUUUUGAAAUUCUGUCUUGUUUGUCUUACUUUUACUCUUUCGCAACUAAUUCUAUCUUACUUUCACAUAAAUUUGCUCAAUUCAUUCUUAUCUUGUGAGGGCAAUGUGUUUCUGUUAACAAAAUUUUAUUUCAAUGCUGAAUGUGUAUGUGUGUAUGUGUGUAUGUUUUGUUUGUUGUAUUGUGGUGUGACAUGUCAUAUUGUGUAUCAUAAAAUAUACUAUAGCCAAAAUACAGAUUAUAAUAGGAUUUCCAUUAAAAUAUAUCCAUGAUCCUACUAGGAUUUCCUUUUAUGUAAACUUCAAAUUGGCUAACAAAAGGAGGGUAAGUCAUGUGCAAGAGGAUUGUUUGGGCUUUGUAGUGGGGGAAUUAUUUUGAUUGUUUCCUUGACAAUUUGUUUUCAGGAGCCUGAUUCAUAGAGUUGAACAUGUUCUUUUUGAAUGAUAUUUCUAUAUAUGCAUCAAAUGGUUUUUGCCUCUAGCCGAAUUUAUUUUCUUUAAGGAUUUUUGACAUCCUUCUUAGAUUUCUAGUCUCCAGAUGAUGUUUCUUGAAUGGAGAGAAUCUUGCAUGGAGCCUCUGGUCAUCGAUGCAUCGUCUACAUUAAACGUUGGCUCUUUGAGCAUGGAACCCGUCUUCUCUGUGGGUGCAUUUCACAUCGGUUCUCGUUGUUACAGUAUGUGUCUGAUCUCUGUGUACAGUAUUGGACGUGUACAAUACAUGUCGUCUCUGUGCGUAAAGUACAUGUUGUCUCUGUGCAUAUAGUACAAGUCAAUGUUCGUACACACGUAUGAAAAUUCCGGUGCCUAUCCAGAUAGAGGUUUUAUUUAUUUAUUUAUUUAUUUUCCAGCAUUUGGUAUGAAUAUGGGAGGAUUCAUGGAUAAGACGAUGGAAAGAUUUCUUAAAGGAUUUUUGUUAGGAUUUUUCGGGGCAGGAUCAAUUCAAGACCGUACCUGCAAGAGAGUGAUGAUUUACUAAAAUGACUCAAUUGAGGGGAUGAUUUAUAAGAUUCACGGAGAUCGAUGAGGAGGAUGAGUUUUGGGUUUCACAGUGAUAGGUGAGGUGUAUGAUUUAUGGAUUUCAUGGAGUGACCUUUUGAUGGUCGAAUUUUUAAAGCUCGUGGUUUCAGGUUUCUUUCCCCUUACGAAUCAUUCUUUUUAUUGAUUAUAUGAACUCGUCAGCUUGGAUUUUUACUCUUUUUCGCCUUCAACACGAACCGUUCUUUGUAUUGAUUGAUUACUUUCAGAUUGGACUUCAACAGGGGAUAUGAUCUUUUGGAGUGGAACAUUUGAAAUUUUGAUGGAAAGGGUGUGGCAACCAUCUGGUCGAUGAUUUGAAAGAUUGAUUGGACUUUAAAAGAGGAUACAAUCUUUCGGAGUGGAUCAUUUGAAGUCUUGACCGAAAACGGUGUGGCACCAUCUGAUGGAUGAUUUGAAAUAUUCAUUGAGAUUGGUGUUAUAAUUUCAUACGUGGAACAAAUCAUUCCUCUUUUAUUCUAAAAUAUCCAUGAUUUCAAGGUUGAUAUGUGGAAUUCUCAAUUUCUGAUAGAUUGGCAUAAGCCCGUUUGGGAAGUAAUAUGAUAUGUUGUGGCAUUUGAAGAUUAGGAGCUACAUAGAAUUUUGGCUGUUAUUGUUGUUGUUUGCAGGAAGUGAUAUGAUAUGUUGUGGCAUUUGAAGUAAUAUGAAUGCUCGUCUUCUUCUUCUUAUGCCUCAAUAUGAGACAUUUGCUCUUCUUGGUAUGAA